GAUGAACGCUGGCGGCGUGCUUAACACAUGCAAGUCGAGCGAAGCGGGGACGGGUGAGUAACACGUGGAAAACCUCCUAUAAGACGGGGGUAACUUCGGGAAACCGGAGUAAAACCGGACACUUACAGAUGGAUCCGCGCUGCAUUAGCUAGUUGGUGAGGUAGUGGCUUACAAGGGCAACGAUGCAUAGCCGACCUGAGAGUGUGAUGGCCCAACCUGGACCUGAGACACGGUCCGGACUCCUAGGGGAGGAGGCGUGAGGAACUCUUCCGCAAUGGGCGAAGGCCUGACGGGGAAACGCCGCGUGAGGGUUGAAGGUCUUCGGAUCGUAAAACUCUGUUAUUAGGGAAACGGUACCUAAUCAGAAAGCCACGGCUAACUACGUGCCAGCAGCCGCGGUAAUAC
rnacentral:rRNA from 1 species